AGAGUUUGAUCAUGGCUCAGAUUGAACGCUGGCGGAAUGCUUUACACAUGCAAGUCGAGCGGCAGCGCGGGGGCAACCUGGCGGCGAGCGGCGAACGGGUGAGUAAUGUAUCGGAACGUACCCAGUCGUGGGGGAUAACUAUCCGAAAGGAUAGCUAAUACCGCAUACGACCUGAGGGUGAAAGCGGGGGACCGUAAGGCCUCGCGCGAUUGGAGCGGCCGAUAUCGGAUUAGCUAGUUGGUGAGGUAAAGGCUCACCAAGGCGACGAUCCGUAGCUGGUCUGAGAGGACGACCAGCCACACUGGAACUGAGACACGGUCCAGACUCCUACGGGAGGCAGCAGUGGGGAAUUUUGGACAAUGGGGGCAACCCUGAUCCAGCCAUUCCGCGUGAGUGAAGAAGGCCUUCGGGUUGUAAAGCUCUUUCGCAAGGAAAGAAAACUUAUCUCCUAAUACGAGGUGAGGUUGACGGUACCUUGAUAAGAAGCACCGGCUAACUACGUG
rnacentral:rRNA from 1 species